rnacentral:rRNA from 1 species
UACGGGAGGCAGCAGGGGGGAAUAUUGCACAAUGGGCGCAAGCCUGAUGCAGCCAUGCCGCGUGUAUGAAGAAGGCCUUCGGGUUGUAAAGUACUUUCAGUCGUGAGGAAGGUGUUAAGGUUAAUAACCUUAGCAAUUGACGUUAGCGACAGAAGAAGCACCGGCUAACUCCGUGCCAGCAGCCGCGGUAAUACGGAGGGUGCGAGCGUUAAUCGGAAUUACUGGGCGUAAAGGGCACGCAGGCGGUUAAUUAAGUUGGAUGUGAAAUCCCCGGGCUUAACCUGGGAAUGGCAUUCAAGACUGGUUAGCUAGAGUCUUGUAGAGGGGGUAGAAUUCCAUGUGUAGCGGUGAAAUGCGUAGAGAUGUGGAGGAAUACCGGUGGCGAAGGCGGCCCCUGGACAAAGACUGACGCUCAUGUGCGAAAGCGUGGGGAGCAAACAGGGAUUUAGAUA